GCCACCAUUUCCUGUGCUCCAUGUUAGAUUUAAAAAAUGAUUUAAAAUUCGAAUCGAAGUUCAAGUAAAGUUUAUAGAGGUCACGUAGAGGAUGGUGGAUGCGACUUGUUCCUUUACGGAAAAGGAAACACCGUCUUUGACGAAUAAAAGUUUACUCGUACUCCAGAGGCCAAGCUCUCUAAUGCCAUUUCAUCGUCAAAUCCGCUUAACCCUUCGAAUACUUUGUGAUACAACUCAAAGGAAAAUUGAGGUCGUGUCUGGGUUUGAGUAGCUUACGCUUAUAGCCUGAGCAGGAAACACUACACGUAGAAGUCCUACUGUUGUUUUUUUGGCGACUCUUCUCGAAGCGAGUAACCUUGGGGGCGAACGCUGUCACGAACCCUAUUCCAAGCGUGGCUUUGUUAGAGACGCCUAUCAGUGAAUGGAAAUAUGCGCAGUUUCUCCAUUUUCAAAAGCGGAAAUUUUGGCGCUUGACCAAACCAGGAGCGAGGCAGACGCUCUAGACCAUGGAGAUGGAUAUGCGUACAGAUACGUGCUAAGGUAAUCAUGCGUCAUGUGCUCCCGAAAAAAGUUCAGAACUUGAAUGGAUCUGAUUUGGCCAAUAGAAGUUGGGGAAAAGAAC